UCUGGCUGCUAGUGCUUAUGGCUUGCCUCAAUUUCGACUGCAAGUAUUUUUAUGGGGUGUUAAACCUUCUGAGGUAUUCUAAUAUUUUUGUUGUAGUAUCUUUCAAAAUACAGUUAUCAUGGUUAUCUACAUAAAAAGAAAAUAUUAUUUUCAUUCUUAUAUUUUAGUGUUGAAGUUCAAAUUUGAGUUAAAUUAUUAUUGUUCUUUCUACAUGGUACCAUAGCUGUCUCAAUUCCCUCUUCCAACUCAUGAUGUUAUUGUCAGGGGUGUUAUUCUUUUAGAAUUUGAGAUAAAUACAGUUGCACAUGAUGAGGGUCACCAUAUUACAAUGGAAAAAAAUAACUUAUAUUGGAAGAUGCUAUUUCUGACCUUUCUUUGGUUACUUGUUGUUUAGUCACUGGUGAGUAUGGUUGGAUUGCAAACAUGUGGAGAGGAUUAUGAAGGCUCAGGCCUUGAGAGAUAACAACAUGACUGGCUACAUAUCCAAUAAGAAGACUAUGGAGAUCAACACUGACA